UACGUAGGGGGCAAGCGUUGUCCGGAAUUAUUGGGCGUAAAGAGCGCGUAGGCGGUCCGGUAAGUCGGCUGUGAAAGUCAAGGGCUCAACCCUUGAAAGCCGGCCGAUACUGUCGGACUAGAGUGCGGAAGAGGCGAGUGGAAGUUCCCGGUGUAGCGGUGAAAUGCGCAGAUAUCGGGAGGAACACCAAUUGCGAAGGCAGCUCGCUGGGACGUUACUGACGCUGAGACGCGAAAGCGUGGGGAGCAAACAGGAUUGAGAUACCCGUU
rnacentral:rRNA from 1 species